GCAGGUGCCCAGGUGCUGACAGCAGGGGCUUCAGUGGUUGCCCAAUGAGGAGAAGCUGAGACCAUCCUGUGCCAGACACAACUGGUUGCAGUCAGCUCAUCAACUCACUGCAAGGCACAGCUGAGCCUGCAGACGAAAUGGCAGAAGCUUGGAGAAGGUGUACUUAACAAAGGACAAAAUAUACUGCAAAAAAAUGGGGAAUGAGAAAAAAUCCUGACAGAAACAGCGCUGCAAGCACGGAGAUGAGACAAGGAGGAGUAGAGAUCCAGAUGCUGGAGCGGAGAGUCUUCUGCAGCCCCUGGAGAGGACCACAGUGGAGCAGGUAUUUCCUGGCAACGCUGGGGUAGGAGGACAUUUCCCAAAGGAAAUGUAAGCUGUGGUGAGUCUGUGGUGGAGCACAUUUUUAGUGAAAUACUACAGCCAGUGGAAGAACCCACACUGCACCAUUCUGACUGAGGAGGCAGAGGAGUUAGGAAAGAAGAAGUGAAGUUGUGGCCUGGAAAGAAGGGAUGAAUGGAGAGAAGAUAUGGAAAACUAACAGAUAUCAAAGACAGAAGUUCUUCAAACAAGGGAACUGAUUCAAGGAAACUGUUACUCCAUUGUUUGUUAUCCACUACUAUGUCAAGAAUGUGCCUGUGACACAGACCAAAAAAUUGGAGAUGGACAUUUUUAACUGAGACAGCUCUGGCAGAAAGCUGCCUCUUAAAAGACGAGGUCCACCACCAAUGACUCAAGAAAAAGAGUGGGAAAAGGGUAUAACCUUCGUCAUGAAGUCUGAGUGACUAAGGUUACUUUUGAAGUUUAUAAUCUUCCUUAUGUGGCAUAAACUUGGAUGGGUUCUUCAAA